GACGAACGCUGGCGGCGUGCUUAACACAUGCAAGUCGAACGGAAAGGCCCUGCUUUUGUGGGGUGCUCGAGUGGCGAACGGGUGAGUAACACGUGAGUAACCUGCCCUUGACUUUGGGAUAACUUCAGGAAACUGGGGCUAAUACCGGAUAGGAGCUCCUGCUGCAUGGGGGGGGUUGGAAAGUUUCGGCGGUUGGGGCUGGACUCGCGGGUUAUCAGCUUGUUGGGGGGGUAGUGGCUUACCAAGGUUUUGACGGGUAGCCGGCCUGGGAGGGUGACCGGCCACAUUGGGACUGAGAUACGGCCCAGACUCCUACGGGAGGCAGCAGUGGGGAAUAUUGCACAAUGGGCGGAAGCCUGAUGCAGCAACGCCGCGUGCGGGAUGACGGCCUUCGGGUUGUAAACCGCUUUCGCCUGUGACGAAGCGUGAGUGACGGUAAUGGGUAAAGAAGCACCGGCUAACUACGUG
rnacentral:rRNA from 1 species